AAAACCACUGCGACAAGCUGGAAAACACUGCAGAGAAGAGGGAACCUUCUGUGUCUGGGUUUGGGCACCUUCUCGCUUCCCCGACCGGGGCCCCGCACGGUCCUUGACGUGCACAUCAAUGCGGGGCCUGCAGUCACACGGCCUCAGCGGUGGCCACCGUGGUCCCUCAGGAUCCUGGGCAAAGGCUUCCCACAGAGGAAGUGUGGGACCCGCAAGUGUCGCCUGAGAGGCCGCCCAGCCCGGCGCCUCGCGGCUGAGCCUCCCCUCACACCAGGCAUGGGACCCUGGAAGCCAUUUUCUAAUCUGUUACAAAACAAAAUCUUCCAGAGCUAGAGUUUUAAGCCCACUUGUUAACACCUUGCAAAUCCAUGCAAAAUCCAGCUGACGUCAGGGAAGAUGGAAACUCACUGGAGAGAGUGAGAGCAGAGGCCACACCCGCCCGCAGCUGCCGGGCUCUGCUACGCCCAAGGCCACCUCUGAACCGGAGCCAGAGAGAAGCACGCUGCAUCAAACUGCCCAGCGAGGCUCAAGAAUAUUCCAGUAGGUCCACACGGGAAUAAAACUACACAUCAGCAAGAUCAAAAAGGUUUUCUGUGCUCCUAGUUCAACUUACAAAGUACAACCGUUUCUUGCUCCUGUCACCAGGAAGGCCUCGUGUGCGUUCGUGGAGAAAAGCAUGCGUGUCUCCCUAAACUCCCCUCUCUGCACUGGCCACUGGCGGGGACAGUCUCAGAACGGAAACCGAGCACCGACCCACCCUCCGGCCAGGGACACAGAGGAGCGCCACGUCCAGGCCCACCUUUCCACCCCCAGACCUCCUCGGGGCGGCAGAAACCGACACAACAGCCCAGAGGACAGGGGGGCGCUGCCGGGCCCGCAGGGCCGCCUCCACUUCCGGGCCGUGGCAACGAGGCUGGCCAGCAACCGGCAAAGUCACCGGCGGAGCGUCCCAAGCGCCAGGGCUGAAAGACGGCCGGCGGGUCCGCCACCAGAGGAGUGCGUUCUGAUCGCGGACACGGCCCAGAAGCAGGCACUGGACCCCCCCACCAGGGCUCUGACCAGCGCGCAGAAAGGCAGAAAGGCAGGGCCACCACAAGGGUCCAUCCCGAGCAAUGCGCAUUCUCCCUAGGAACCCAGCGAAACAGCACACUCUGCAAAAAUGCACGUGUCACUCUCAAACAAGGUCUCCAGGGGGCCUGGCCCCUCCUGUCUGAGGUGGGGCGGGCAGGGGACGAGAAGCCUGAUGGGCUCUGGGCCACCACUGCCUGCAGCCCUGACAGAGGUGGCGGUGGGGGCGACACCAGGCCCACGUGGACCCUGGCUCACAGGGACCCCUAAGAGGGCAGGACGGUGUGCGUGAGAGAGGCCUGGGGCAGGAGACCUGAGAAGAAUUCGGACCACACCAGCUUUUCCCUCUGAGAAAUGGGUCGACCCAGGCUCUGCUACCUCCGAGGUGCCGACGCAGGGAGAACACGGCCCGCCCUACAACAGGGACCGGCCCGUAAAACAGAACGUCUCCUAGAUUUCCGAAACUGGUCACUAGGCCCAAAGACCCCCAAUGCCCCCUUCCUGACCGUCCAAGGACGGACUCCAGGCCCCCCGCACCAGCAGGAGAGGGGGGCUGGGAGCAGGCCCGCCCAGGAUGGCGGGCCUGGCAGAUGGCGGCAGCCUGGGCUCAGGUCACCAAGGUACUCGCCAAGGCUGCCAGGCCAGUGUCCGGUGACAUCCCUGCACCGGGGGGUCUGGCCUGCCACCUGA